ACUGCUGCAGAACCUUUAAUCAAGGCAUGUACCAUAAGCAAAUAUUCUUAUCCAGCUGAAUAGAGUAAAUACUGCACAUCAGGCUAUAAGAUACCGUGAGUGGCUCCUCCACCUUACAGUCCAACCCCCACCCCGGAGACACCACCCUCAGAACACAACUGAAUAAAUGCUGUGUUGGUGCUGGUAAAGGGUCUCGUUGGAGGUCGAUGGCUGGAUGAGAACCAAAAUGUCACUCUUGGAAACAGUGUGCUGGUGGUCUCUCAUGUUCGGGUGUGCGCUGUCCCAGAUCACACAUCCCAAGGAGCUGUUACUGUACAAACCGGGAAGGAGCGCAAGGGUCAUCUGUGAAGCGGAUGCAUCCGUGCCCUUGAACAGCAACCCUCUCCACUGGUUUCAAGCGUCCAAAAGGGACCAAAGAAGUACUCUGACCAUCAGCAACGCAGUGCCUGACGACAGCGGG